rnacentral:lncRNA from 1 species
UCAAAAUUGCAAUUGAGGGUUUGAAAAAAUUGCUGCGCCGCCUCUUCUUCCCCACGCAAGUCGCUGCGCCGCCCUGUCGAUCGUCGCCUCCAUCGCUCUCUGCCCCACCCCCGCCGAAGAUCUGCGCCUACACCGCGCCGCCGCAGCGCCUGCACUGCGUCGCCGCGCCGCUCGUCGCUCCUGCAUCUGCACCGCGCCGUGUCGCCGCCUGCAUCUGCAUCGCCACCUACUCCAAAGAUUGCACCGCGUCGCAGGUCUGCUCGCCGCCCUGCUCCAGAGCUUGCACAGUGUCGCCGCACCGCCUGUACCGCGUCGCCGCGCCCCCGCUGAAGAUCUGCGCCUGCACCGCGUCGCCGCGCCGCUCAUCGCGCCUGCAUCUGCACCGCGCCGUGUCGCCGCCUGGAUCAAAUUGGGUUUGAUUUUUGUUUUCCAAUUUCGAUUUUAUGUUAAUGUUUGUAUCCAAAAAUUGUGUGAACUUUGCCGUUCCAUCUUUCUACUGUUGCUUUUGCUGAAGGAAGCUGC